UGGCAAAGCUGGACAACUGGGGGGGAUGGGGGGGGAAAUGCGAGAUUGUGGAGAGUACUGUGUUACGCUUUUAUAGAACCUCUUCGACUCGUAGAUUUUUGGAAGCCUAUAUGUAUGUUUUUUUUUUCCUGUUUUGGGGGGAUUCACCAGCCGCGUAAGAAGCGCAUUCCUCGGAGGUUCAACGCCGAAGAAUAAAGUAGUUUAUUCGCAAUUUUCACCCAACAGCUCCCUCCAGUCUGGUCUAGUCUGGCUGGGUGCGUUCUGGAGAGAGUGGAGGAUGCCUGUCGAGAUCUGCGUUCACAUUACGAGGAAUUAAACGCCUGCCUUACAGCCUUCAUUUGGUUUUUUUUUUUCUCUCUUUGGGGAAACUAAGGUCGGACCGACGAUUAGGACGCACGUUUGGGAUUUUCACGACCUCCCCUAACCCCCCCACCCCUGCCUGCUGAGACUGGUAUCUCUGAGCAAAUUUCGACCAUUUUGCCAAAGGACCUGCACACUGGAGACAUAAACAAAGGAUACAUUUAAAGAUGUAUCCACAGGGCCGACAUCCGGCUCCACAUCAGCCCGGCCAGCCUGGCUUCAAAUUCACUGUUGCUGAGUCUUGCGACAGAAUAAAAGACGAGUUUCAGUUCCUCCAAGCCCAGUAUCACAGUCUCAAGGUGGAGUAUGACAAGCUGGCCAAUGAGAAAACAGAGAUGCAGCGCCACUAUGUCAUGUAUUACGAGAUGUCUUAUGGUUUGAACAUAGAGAUGCACAAACAGACGGAGAUUGCCAAACGACUGAAUGCAAUUUUAGCUCAAAUUAUGCCUUUCCUGUCACAAGAGCACCAACAGCAGGUUGCUCAGGCAGUGGAGAGGGCUAAGCAGGUGACUAUGACCGAGCUGAAUGCCAUCAUCGGGGUACGUGGACUUCCCAAUCUGCCUCUCACCCAGCAGCAAGCUGCCUACCCUGCUCUUAUGCAGCAGCAGCUCCAGGCGCAGCACCUCUCCCACGCUGCUCACGGGCCUCCGGUCCAGCUGCCGCCUCACCCCUCGGGUCUGCAGCCACCUGGCAUCCCCCCUGUGACGGGCUCCGGAUCGGGCCUGCUGGCUCUCGGGGCUCUGGGCAGCCAAGCUCACCUCCCAGUGAAGGACGAGAAGAACCACCACGAUCUGGAGCACAGAGAAAGCACGAAUAACUCGAUAUCCCCAUCAGAAAGCUUGCGAACAGCCAGCGAGAAGCACCGCAGUUCUUCGGAUUACAGUUUGGAGUCAAAGAAACGCAAAGUAGAGGAGAAGGACAGCAUGAGCAGAUAUGAUAGUGAUGGAGAAAAGAGUGAUGAUUUGGUGGUAGAUGUGUCUAAUGAGGAUCCUGCGACUCCACGGGCAAGCCCAGCCCAUUCUCCGCCUGAAAACGGCAUCGAUAAACCACGCCCAACCAAGAAAGACACGCCCAACAGCCCAGCGUCUGUGGCCUCCUCCGGAAGCACCCCAUCCUCCAAGGCUAAGGAGCUCAGUCAUAAUGACAAAUCCUCCACGCCUGGCCUCAAAUCCAACACCCCCACCCCCAGAAACGAUGCCCCUACUCCUGGCACCAGCUCCACUCCUGGGCUCAGACCCAUCCUGGGCAAACCACCAGGCAUGGAGGCUCUUGCAGCACCAGCUUUGCGGACCCCUCUGUCUAUUGCGGGCUCCUAUCCUACCCCCUUUGCCAUGAUGGGCCACCAUGAAAUGAAUGGAACCCUGACGAGUCCAGGGGUGUAUGCUGGCCUGCACAUCUCCCCUCAGAUGAGUGCUGCAGCAGCUGCAGCUUAUGGACGCUCCCCCAUGGGGUUUGAUCCUCAUACCCAUAUGAGAGCCCCUGGGCUUCCAGCCAGCCUCACGUCCAUUUCUGGAGGCAAACCUGCAUACUCUUUCCACGUCAGCGCAGAUGGUCAGAUGCAGCCUGUACCCUUCCCGCCCGACGCCCUCAUUGGGCCCGGUAUCCCGCGUCACGCACGUCAGAUCAACACGCUUAGCCACGGUGAAGUGGUUUGCGCCGUCACCAUUAGCAACCCCACACGCCAUGUCUACACUGGCGGUAAAGGCUGCGUCAAAAUCUGGGAUAUCAGCCAGCCAGGCAGCAAGAGUCCCGUGUCCCAACUGGACUGUCUGAACAGGGAUAACUACAUCCGAUCCUGUAAGCUCCUGCCUGAUGGUCGCACAUUGAUUGUUGGAGGCGAGGCAAGCACUCUGACCAUCUGGGACCUGGCCUCUCAGACGCCUCGCAUCAAGGCGGAGCUCACCUCCUCAGCGCCGGCGUGCUACGCCUUGGCCAUCAGCCCUGACGCCAAAGUCUGCUUCUCCUGCUGCAGUGAUGGAAACAUUGCAGUUUGGGAUCUGCACAACCAGACUCUUGUUAGGCAGUUCCAGGGUCAUACAGACGGUGCUAGCUGUAUUGACAUUUCUCAUGAUGGCACUAAACUGUGGACAGGCGGCCUCGAUAACACUGUUCGCUCUUGGGACCUUAGGGAGGGUCGACAGCUGCAGCAGCACGACUUCACUUCACAGAUCUUCUCCUUGGGCUACUGUCCGACGGGAGAGUGGCUGGCUGUUGGAAUGGAGAGCAGCAACGUGGAGGUGCUGCACCAUUCGAAGCCUGACAAGUAUCAGCUACACCUCCACGAAAGCUGCGUCCUCUCCCUCAAGUUCGCCUACUGUGGUAUGAACAAACCUACAUUAAAGGAUUAGACAAUUUAUUGUUGUUUUGUGGGAUAGACCCACAAACAUUUGUAAAUAGGUGUGAAGUGGUAUUAAAAGGAGAGGUUUUUUUUAAUUAUUUAGAAAUACAAAUAUGAAAAGUAUGGCUUACAUUUGUAUUUAACCCACUUUACUCUGAUAGCCCUUUAUAAAAUCCAGUUCAACAGUUUACCUUUUAGAAGUUACCUGCACAUCUAACUCUACAUAAACCUGAACACACCAUCCCCACCUAUGGCAGCAUCGUGGUGAGGGGAUCAUUUUCUUCAGCAGUGAAGUGCAAGCUGCAACCUUUUUUGGGUGUACAUCCAUGAUUCCCAGUUCCCCUUUCUACAAAAAUCAGACUGACAGAUAUUUCUUAAAAAAAAGCAUGUUGGGUUUGUUGUUUACCAGGUAAAAAGUACAGAAAAAAAUUGUACUACAACUACUUUCAACAUGAUUACUGAGGUAAAAAGAUAACCACUACUUUGGAAUAAAGCAUGUUUAUGUGUUAGAAGGCCUAGUGAAAGUCCAGACUUAAAUCCAAUUAAGAAGGUAUGCAAGACUUGAAAACUACUGCUGACAGAUACUGUCCAUCCAGUCUAUUUAGCUUGAGCUGUUUUACAGUAUAGGAAUGGGCAAACAAUUCAGUCACUACAUGUGCAAAGCUGCUAGAAAUGUACAGCUGUAACUGAAACAAAAGGAGGAUCAACCAAGAAUUUUAGGAGGACUACAUACAAAUGCAUCCUACACUUUUCAGAUAUUUUGUUGUUUAAACCCAUAUAUCUUCAUCUUUUACUUUGCAGUUAUGCACUACUUUCUGUUUGCCUAUCAUGUGAAAUCCCAAUAAAAUGCAUUGUAGAUUCUGGCUGCAGUCUGACAAACUGUAAAAUAUUGUAUUGUUGUAUGAAUACUUCUGCAAAGCCCUGUAUCUAGUUUAAGAGCUAAAUGGCCUUUUUUCAGUUCUUUUCUCCUAAGGGUUACAGAUGUAACGACUCUUGCUAUGAAGGUAUUUUCACUGCCUCUAAUUAGUUCAAUGGCACUGCUGUUUUCUUUGCAGGUAAAUGGUUCGUAAGCACUGGGAAGGACAAUCUGUUGAACGCGUGGAGGACUCCUUAUGGCGCCAGCAUAUUCCAGUCCAAGGAAUCCUCUUCAGUCCUGAGCUGCGACAUCUCAACGGAUGACAAGUAUAUCGUGACAGGCUCUGGUGACAAGAAGGCCACCGUGUAUGAAGUGAUCUAUUAGGACGGCUUUGGAUCAGAGCAUGCUCAUAAUUAGGAACAACAUGCUCUUCCUCCGCCUAUCUUCCCUCAAACAGACAACAUGGAUUCUCCUUUAAAUGACAGGAAGUUUGGCAGUGCCAGACUAAAAUGGAUGGUGGUGCUGUUUGGGACCUGGAUUUUUGUUUCUGAUUAUUACAAGACUUGUACACGAAGAGCGGUUGUGUGAGGGCACUAAGAAAAAGGAAAUAAAACAAACACCUUGCUCUUUUCGCCGGUUUGGAUUUUUCUUUGUUUUUUUAAUCCUUUUGACAGUGGAGAUAAAGUUCCAUGACACAACUAGAAGCGGCGCUUCACUUUGGAGCUUUUCCUCAGAGGUCCUGUGAAAAGUGUACAUAAUGGAGUAAUAAAUGGCCUUUUAUAGAUUUAUAUUUUGGUGUCCAAUUUCGCUUGUGAUGGUUCUUUCUUGUUCUCUGUGAUUUUCUGUCCCCUUUGGGGGUGGAAAUUAGAUUAGGACUUUGUAAGAGGAUAUUCUGUUUCCUUCUCCCCUCCUCUCCGUGGCAUUUAUUUUCCAUGUUUUUUGUCAAGAGCAACCUUUUUGGGAAAUCUAAUUUGGAGUUUUUUUUUUUUUCUUCCUGGCAACAGCUUUGUUUUUUUUUUUUUUUUUUUUUUGCUUCUUGGUACAAAACAGAUGCUUGUUCCAAGGAGUUUAGCCACAGAGAACUCCGGAAACGCUUUUUUUUCCCCUGACUGGAGGAAGGAGAAAUUCAUUGUUUUCAGUUUUAUUGGCUCACUGGCUUUGGUCAGCAGAAACUCAACUCUGAAAUGAUCUGUCACUGAACACUGGCUGCUUUCAGUAAUACCAAAAUGGAUAACAACUGGAAGACUGAUGGAUUUCCUAAAAGGCAGCCGUGACUUAAGCUCAGUCUGUUGACUCAACCAUUGUAUGAAAAUAUCAUUGCUCCGCUCUGCAAAGUCAUCAGUCUGUGCAAGUUAAUUAUUGCCUUUCUUGUUUUGACGGCCUGUGACUGAUAUGCAAGACUUGCUUGGUUACACAUACAGAUGGCAAGCAAAGCCACGUCUGCAUUUGACAUCCUGGGUAUACCGUUUGCUUUCUACAGUAUUCACAAUAUUCUGCCUGGAAAAACUCUUACAGAAAAAGGGCAUAAACUGUGUCGCAUACACUCAUCACUCGUGCGGAUUGUACAGUAGACAGUUGUUGAUAAGUCAAUAAACUGUUUUUAUAUAAAAUAUAAUCUUGACUUGAUUUUUAAAGUGCUGUUGUCUUGCUGCUUAUAAAGGUAAUAUCUCCAUCUUGAAGAGAGGGAAAUUAACAUAAGAACUGGUGAUAACACUGAAAAUUAAAAAAAGAUAAUCCAACUCUCGUUUUUAUGACAAAAUCUGCAUACCAGCUCAUUUAGAAUGGUAAAAUUGUAUUUUGUUUAUUUAAUUUCAACAUGUUCAGCCUAAUUGUAAUUCUAUUUUCGUUUUGGCUUUGAAUACCCAUCUGUCUGCUGUUUAAACUGGUUGUCUGGCGUAGAUAACAGUGGUGAGACGACAGAUAUCUACAAAUGUCAAUUGUACUCUUAAUCGUUUUCUUUUUUCUUCUUGGCUUAAAUUAUGCUAAUAAGUACGUUUUUAGAAAAGCUGUUAGGUGGCUUUUGUUCUCAGGCAAUAAAACAAGACCAUGUAUCUCCA